rnacentral:misc_RNA from 1 species
UUUCCGUUGGUGAACCUGCGGAAGGAUCAUUAUUGAAACUUGAAUCGUAGCAUUGAGAACUGUUGCUGACCUGUUAAAGGGUAUGUGCACGUUCGACGUGUUGCGUUCUAUUCAUCCACCUGUGCACCUUUGUAGACUUGAUUAACUUUCGCUUUCCAGCGGUUAGAAGGGCUGCUUUCGAGCUCCCUUUGUCUAUCAAGUCUAUGUCUAUAUAAUCUCUUGUAUGUCUAGAAUGUCUUGUUUAUGGGACGCAAGUCCUUUAAAUCUUAUACAACUUUCAACAACGGAUCUCUUGGCUCUC